UUUGACUACAUGGAGGAGCAUUUGGGUAGCAAAUGAGCUCUUGUUGAAAGGAGUAGCUGGCAAGUUGACGAUGGAAAAUCAAUACUAGUUUGGGAUAUAGCCCGGUUGCCUAAAGACAUACCCUACAUAAUUAGUUCACCACGGGUUAAUGAGGUAAAUUUUAUGGCUAAUCUGAUUGAUGAACAAAGUAAGAAAUGGAAGGAGAAUGUAGUCAGUACCACCUUUAAUGAGCAUAAAGUUAAAAGAAUACUAAGUAUCCUAUUAGUAUAGUACGGGCUAUCAGACAGGUUGAAAUGGUGUCCCGAGAAAACUGGAGAGUCUACAGUACAAGUUCUUAUCAACUCUUGUUACGAGGCUUUCCAGGAACUGAAAAUGAUUUAUACAGAGACAUAGGUCCAGAAAAGCGGACAUUUUAUAGACAAUUAUGGUAAGCAAAGGUGCCAAAUAAAAUGAAAAUUACAACCUGGAGAUUUUUGCAUAAUCAUAUACCUAAUAUAUCUAAUUUGCAUAUUAGAAGGCUAGUAAAUGAUGUUGUAUGUUUGCAAUGUGGAAAGGCGGUAGAGAGUUCUCAUGCUUUUCAAGAUUGUUCUUAUUCAUUACAAGUAUGGCAGCAGCUGGGUAACACGAGGAAUUUAAAUCAGAAAGGAGAAUCAUUGUUUUAAUGGCUCCAACAGUUGUUUACAAGACAUACUUAGCAACAGGUAUUGAUUAUUAUUAUUGUUUGGGCAUUAUGGCUAUCGAGAAACAAAUUAUUGCAUGAAUGUAAAAGGCUGUACAUUUGUAAUGGAAAUACUGGAGGACACUCAACUGAUAAGCGUGACUAAUCAAACAGGGAUGUGGUAACCCCCAACAGAUUUGUAGGUCAAUCUUAACUACGAUGGGGUUUUUACAGAGGCUUGGAGGCAUCAAUUUUAGGCAUAAUCAUUAAGGACAACAAAGGCUUGAUAAUGGGUGCGGCAUGCAAUUCGAACAGGAACUUACCGUCUGUGGAGGCGGUGAAAGCUUUGGCAGCCGUUCAGGCCGUCCGAUUUGCCCAAGAGAUGGGGUUUCAAAAAUUCAAGGUUGAAGGAGACUCAUUGGUGAUUAUUUCAAAGAUCAAGAUGCAAGGUAUGGAUAGAUCGGAGGUUAGUAAUUACACUUGGGAAGGUAAAAAAAUUAUAAUGGGUUUUGAAAGCUUCAAAUUUCAGCAUAUCAAAAGGGGAGGUAAUCGGGUGGCUCACCUGCUGGCGAAGGAAGGCUUCAUUCAGAAGCGAGAUGUCCGAUGGGUGGAGGACUCGUUGGCGAUUCAAGAGAUUGUGGUGGUCGAGGAAAGGAAUUUGUUUAGAACCACAUAACGGUCACGGUCGGAUUGGAAAGAAUGUUACAAUAGAGGAUGAGAACUAGCGUUUUCGUUGAAUCGCUUCAAACCAGUACCUAUCAAUGAGUCUAUGGUGAGAGUUGAAGUGUUGUUUUUUACUAGUAUGCGUGGGGGUGUAAGGGAAGAAGAUGGGUUUCCAAUUUUUUUUUUUGUUUUGAUGGUUUAUUUU
rnacentral:lncRNA from 1 species